CUUCACAGUGACGCCGUGCCAACAAAAUUCGAUUUCCCUGAUCAUCUGCAAGCAAAGAGACCCAAGCUUCGUAAACCUCCGACUAAGAGAGAUUCAUUAGUCGAAAUGUCAUGUGCAGAAACUUCCCAUAAUUCUCCCGCUAUACAAGCUUCUGAAGUAAAAGCUGGGACAAGCAAAUGUUUUAGAUACAUAGGAGAUUUUAAGGAAGAUGACUUGGCUGUUCCUGGCAUAGCUAGUAAAAUGGCAAGUGUUGCAAAAAAGCAGCUGAAGAAGAAAGCCAGAAAAUAAGUAAUUUGCAGCGAUCAGCCCACAGGAUGAGGAAGAAAAUUUUAAAUUUGGAACCAUUAAUAAGUGACCUUCAAAAGAAUAAUCUUAUAAGUGAAUCCAUGGGUAAUUUGCUGAAGAUGCUGCCACCAGGUACCUCAGAGUUGUUAAAGCGUGCCAGCAGAGGUCAAACAAGAGAAAAGUACCCAGCAACUCUUCGGACCUUUGCUUUAACUCUUAAUUUCUACAGCAGCAAGGCUUAC